ensembl:lncRNA
CUCUUAUUUGCUGAAGGGAGACCCGCGAUGGCCGUGACCUCCAAAGAGCUCUCUGAGAUCUUUACUGAACCAGCGAAGGAUUGCACAAAGGGAUUAAUACUGAUACCGUGCAAAGGAGGGGAAGCAGGGAGAGAAAAGAACAGGAACUAACAGAGAUCAAGACAGACGGGUCACGUUACCACCAAGCUAAAGGCAAUAAGGGUCCGUUAUCGGGUUCUCGCUGUGCUUUGGGGGUUUCCUCUGGGUAUUCCAGUUUCCUCCCCAGUCCAAAGACAUGCAUUGUAGGCUGAUUGGCAUCUCUAAAUUGUCUGUAGCGUGUGAAGGCGUGAGUGCUUGUUGCCCACGCCUUGUGCCCUGAGUUUCCUGGAUAGGCUCCAGGCUCCUUGUUACCCUGUGUAGGAGAAGCGGUACAGAAAAUUGAUGGGUGGAUGAAUGAAUCAUAAUGAUGACCUUGGUGCCAAAUGUGUUAUCUCAUACGUACUGUAUAUAAACAGCUGUGCUGUAUGUAUGUUCUGUUAUGCACCUACGAAUAAACAUUUGGAAUGA